UACGUAGGGGGCAAGCGUUGUCCGGAUUUAUUGGGCGUAAAGAGCGUGUAGGCGGCCAGGUAGGUCUGCUGUGAAAACUCGGGGCUUAACCUCGAGCUGUCGGCGGAAACCAUCUGGCUAGAGUCCGGAAGAGGAGAAUGGAAUUCCCGGUGUAGCGGUGAAAUGCGCAGAUAUCGGGAAGAACACCCGUGGCGAAGGCGGUUCUCUGGGACGGUACUGACGCUGAGACGCGAAAGCGUGGGGAGCGAACAGG
rnacentral:rRNA from 1 species